UACGAAGGGGGCUAGCGUUGCUCGGAAUCACUGGCGUAAAGGGUGCGUAGGCGGGUCUUUAAGUCAGAGGUGAAAUCCUGGAGCUCAACUCCAGAACUGCCUUUGAUACUGAGGAUCUUGAGUUCGGGAGAGGUGAGUGGAACUGCGAGUGUAGAGGUGAAAUUCGUAGAUAUUCGCAAGAACACCAGUGGCGAAGGCGGCUCACUGGCCCGAUACUGACGCUGAGGCACGAAAGCGUGGGGAGCAA
rnacentral:rRNA from 1 species